UGCUUUUUAAACAGGCUUUUGCAACAAAAAGUGUUUUUCUCUUAAAAGCAAAGAAGAACGGCUAUCGUUUCAAAAUUUACGGCUAUCGUUUCAAAAUUUUUUUCACCAUUUGAGAAGUGCUUUUUGGCUGAUGAAGAAGUUAAAAAUUUCUCCAUUUCUUCAGCCAAAAGUCCGUUUGGCUGAUAAUUUCCCAUUUUAACCUGCCUUCUCUCCCAAAAAAGUUUCUUUUCUCUGGUUCUUUAGAGGAGCUCUAUACCCAUUUUUCACAUUUUCACUUUCAAAAUUUUGGCUUACUGCUUUCGAUUAGAAUUUUCAGGGAAAAUUCUGGAUUACUGCUUUGCUUUACUCUACUCGGUGGCUGUGGUUUGGGGAUUGAGAAUCGAGAUAAAAGAAAUGGAGAAGGGAAACAGGCAAGUAGUUGUUUCAGCAUUGAAAUUCGCUUGCACCGACGAUGUGCCCACCUAUCUCGCCACUGCCGAAAGGUUUCUUUUUUUUUUUACUCCUCCUAUUACUUCCCAUUUGAUUAGAUUUUCUUGGUCUUUCAUUAAUUUCGAAUUGUAUUAUCUGAUCAAACCUAUAUUCUGGAUUUGCUUUGCUACUCUUCUACUUUCAUCUAUUAAAAAGUCUCUUCAUAUUGGUUUUGUGGUUUCUUUUAGUUAAUUCUUCCUUUAGUCUUUAGUCUCUAUUUGAUUGAGAUUUGGAACUGUGGUGUAAAUUGUUUGUUUGAUUCUUAUAUGAGAGUGAGCCUAUUUACUAUGUGGUGAAGAACCGAUAAAAGAAAAACAAAGGAUAUAGAGACUGUUCAUGGUUAUAAAUUGUUUUCAAAAUUAAUUUGGUUUCAUUGGAACUGUUCAAGUUCGAACUUUUGGGCAUUUUCUGCAGUUGUUCAUUGGAGACACUAAGUACAUUGAAGUUUGCACAGCGGGUUAAAUUUAUUAAGAACAAUGUAUGAGAUCUUUGCUUAGCUACUUUUAAUUCAAUGCAUGGCUUACUCGUCAUUCAUGUGAUUUCCUGAAAUCCUCUGUUUCAUUUUCUGUUCCCAACGGGAACCGAUGCUAGCCUUUGAGCCUGUUUAGACUACAUACUCUAUACUUGUAUACUAAUAAUAAGAGUUUUGUGUUGUGGAACCCAUUUAGUUAAAAAGGUAGAGUGAUACCAAGUUUUUUUCAUGUAUAUAUAUUUAAAAAUACAACUUUUUGUUAAAAAAAAUUUAUUUGUUUUAACCUCUUAAUCAGUUAGUCAAAUUCUAGUUAAUGUAUAUAGUUUUUAAAUUUUGGAUGUCAUAUUUAUUGAAAGAUUUGAACUAAUGUAUUGUAGGCAGUGGUAAAUGAAGAUGCAUCUGGAGAUGUUGUUGCUAUGAGACUGCAAAUUCAACAGCUGAAGGUAUUAUAUAUUAAAAUAUUAACAAUAAGUUAUAAUAAAUUAUUUUUUUAUAUUUUUGCUAAAAUAUCAUAAUAUUAACUAAUUUGAACAUUAUUUAAAUACAUAUUUGUUACUUUAUAAUCUCAUGUCUAAAAUGGACAUUUUAUUCUUCAAAAGCACUUUUUGACAGCAAUGCCAAACACUCAAAUUUCUCAAAAGCACUUCUCAAAAACACUUUUCAAAAGCACUUCUCAAAAGCACUUCUCAAAAGCAAUAAAGAACUGACCCUAAAUAAUACCAAUUCAUAUAUUUUGAAUAAAAAAUAAAAUAUUUAUCUCAAAAUUUUUAUAUGAUUAAAUUUCAAAAUAAUUUUAAAUAUUUAAUAUGUAAUUAAUAGUACUUAAAAUAAAUUUAAAUUCAAAAUAAUAUUAUGAUUCGAUUGUUAGAAAAACAUUGUAUAAAAUAAAUAAAUAAAUAAAUAAAAAUUAGAUAAUUUUGUCUCAAAAGUAAAUUUUUACUCCCUUUUGUACAAUCCCAGAGCUUAGACAAAUGUCAACACAAUAAGUUAUCAAAAUCAACUUUUUCACCUCCUGCCACCAAGUCCUUCCUUUACCCAGCUGUCUUCCCAUGAAAAGACUACUCGCUCUUCCUCAAAACUGGCCUUGAUCACUCGCUUCCACGAUAAGGCCACUAGCUCAAUAAGUUACAUCAUCAAACACUCGUUUUUUAAGUGCAAAGCACUUAUCCAAGUGUGAACACGCCUCUAAUGACGAGUGGGCUCUACCAGGGAAUGAUAAUAACCUUGUACUAUCUAAGACCAUUACAUUUGCACCUCAUGUACACUAUGCCAGUAUGCCCACUGUCCAUUGUAAUGACCUACCACAUCACACUAUAAGACAAGAUGACCUCUCCUAUAAAUGCCCUCCCAGCAAUGAGGAAACGAUCAAUUUUUGCUUUAAUGAGUUAUGUUAACACACCACAUCCGGCCUGAUCGUCGAAUCCAGGUAUGGAGCGUCACAAAAUAAAACCAUUGGACUGGCUGUAACUAAUAGACAUCCAAAUACCCUAACGAUUUCAUGUUAUACCAAAACAAGAGAUGGUUCACAAAUAGGCCGCAAAUUUGGAUGAUUCCUUACAAUGAUACGUCUAACCUAAGAGCUUGAAAAUAAGAAGAAAGAAACUAAGUAAGCUCAUAAGAACUUAAUGAGUUCCAAGGAAAUAUAAUCCUACAAUAGGGUUCAACAAACACUAUUACGCUAGGAUUUAGACUGACAAAUGGUAUGCCACUUUUGGCGGAUACAAUUCUUUAUGUUUUCAAAGUAUCCGUCGGUGGAUACUUUUGCAAAUAGACAUAGCCCCAUGGCGAACGUUGCCCGCUAAUAGAGACAUGCAUUUAACGGGUACAAGACACAACUAUUCUACUUGUAUAUCUCAUUUGUGAACUACCCUUCUAUGAUCGUUUCUCGUACUUUUCACACUUCAUGCAACAUUCACACUAUGUUUAACAUGAUAUACACCCCUUUUUGUCUGUAUACUCCCUUCCUUGUGCUAGCUUCUAAUCCUAAUUCUGAAGAACCAUUAAUCCUGCAUCUUCAUACCGUUCCUUAGAGCCAUUAAACCAAUCAUAAUCUCAAUACCUUCAUCAUUCCUCCUUGUAAUCUGAACACAUGAGUAUUCCCCCGCAAGGCCAAGUACUCACCGGUCACGGUUUGCACCAAAGUGCCAUAUCAAAGGUAAAAUAUAAUAUCAUGGAUCUUUUUUUCAUCAUUAUACGUAGCAACCCUCCGAUACCUUAUUACACCAUUCUGGAUACGGAGCUUGUGCACUAAGGAAAGAGUAUUUAUACCCAUGUACAUGUAAUUUUUCUAUUUCUAUUUUACAGACUGUAAUCGUAUAUGCAUAAAAUGUUUACCAUGACCCCUUUAGCACAUUACCAGGACCAAAGAUUAAAGCUACUUAAUUGGGUAUACAGCAGGAAAGUUUAAACAUAAUAAUAUUGAUAACGAACUCAAGGUAGAAAAGAACUCAUCAAGAACCUUCACUUAGAGCUUUCCUACUCAACGGGUUCUUUCCUUUUAGCACUGGGACCUUCUCCCGUAUCUUUGGCUAAAACAAUCAAAUAACUUCUUUAAAUAUAAAAACAACCAAAUCUUAAUGAAAUACCAUGAGUCAAUAAACAUGCAACAAUUCCCAGAUGAAAGUUUUCUUCCUAUCUAGUAUACAAAUGGUAACCCUACUGAACAACCCUUACAACAGCUCCUUUCUAUCUGGUAAAACUUAAAUAAGGAUUUAAGAAUUUACCAGCAAACAAAUUUUAAGAAAGAAGCUCCUAAAAGCUUAACUAAAAAUUCUACCUAUAACACCUCUAACUUGUCUCCACCGCCGAAUUAGGGUUACAAAAUGUUAUUGUACAAAACAGAACAAAUAAUUCAACUUACAAAAUAAUUUCUAAUUAGUCAAAUUAAUCAUGGUAAUAAUACACAUUUGAGCCUUAAAUCAAGCUACUAGGGCCCUAGAAUCAAUUUAAAAGUAAUCAAGGAUUGAUUUAAAUAAAUCAGGCCCAGACCGUGUGACUCCAGAUAUGGUCGUGUGGUUAUCCACACACUUGUGUGUGCAGGCCGUGUAACUCUCCGUGACCGUGUAGCUCAGGGUCACACAACCGUGUCGCUAAGCCGUGUAACUUUUUGUGCCUGUGUGAACCAACUUGCACCCAAAAUUUUUAAGACACACAUGUGACAGCCUAUGUCCCAGGUUGUGUGCUCCAUAAUUAGCCCCUAAAAUAAGCCAUUUUAAAAUCAAACCUUUCCCAACAAUCUACUCCAUUUGCACACACUCAAAGGCCCUAAACAAACAUCAAACAUUCAUAACAUACCAAUUCAAUCAACUUAGCUCUUCUAACCAUAUGCCAUUUAAAGACACCUCAUUUCAUGCCAAAACAAAAUCCAUUAAGAACAAAGCUAUAAUUCUACUUCUCAAUCACAAAACUUAGGUAAAUUAGUUACCUGAUGUCAAUCAUCAUCAUCCCAUAUUACCAUUCAAAAUAAGCAUACCAAAAUGACUAUUUACACAUAUAUCUUUUAACAUGUACAAGCCAACUAUACCAUAUAUGCAUAUAACCAUUUACAAAAGUAACCAAAACACAACAAAAGUAUUAAUGACAUUAAACCCUAUAUAUUAAGCCUUAUACAUACCAUUUAUAACCAAAACAAAAAUAUUCAAAAACUACCAAGGUGAAUUUUAGAUAGUAUGAUAAGACUCCGACAAGGUUCCAACUGAUCGAGCUUCUGAUAGACUACAAAAUAGAAGAAAUACAACUACGUAAGCAUUUAUUGCUUAGUAAGCUAGUAUAAGGUUAACUUUAACUUACCGAACAUGAAUCGAUAAAUCAUUCAACCAAGUUCAUUUCAACAUUUAAACAUUAUACCUUCCUAUCCACCAUAAUCCACAUGGUUAAUAACCAACAUAUAAACAUAACAUCUAUGUGAUAUAGCGUAUACUAGGAAAUGAAUUUCCAUAAUUCAUCUUUUCCACCACAUGAUAAAAACUCACCAUUAGCAUUUCAUAAAGUCAUGAACAACAAUUAAUUAUAAACAGCCUUUCUUUAACUUUUGCUUACCCAUUGAGCUUAAUAGAAUCACAACGGUUAUCUGAUUCACAACACUGGCACGAAGCCUACUAGGCCCAAGGUCUAAUUUCAUACACCGGCACAAAUCCUGAUAGGCUUAAGGUCUGAUUCCAUACACUGACACGAAGCUUGCUAGGCUGAAGGCCUGAUUUCAUACACUAGCUCGAAGCCUGCUAGAUUCAAAACCCGAUACAUGUCUCCAAUUUAACUCAAUUUCCAUCAUAAAAAAAAUGUAAUCACAACCACCAUGAAGAAUUAAAUAGAACAAUUAGCUAAAAAUUUAAUAUAAAAAAUUGUAUAAUACGAGCUUACCUCGAUAAUUAUGGUUGCAAAAAUAGAGUCGAAUCUUAGUCCAACGCUUUAACUUUUCCCCGAUUUAAGUUUGGUUGUUGCAUAUCUUGAUCUAAAUAAUAUUUUCAUUCACUUAAGUAUUUAAAUUAACUUCAAAUAUCCAAUUAAACCAAUAAUACAUAUUAAUAUGAAAUUACAAAAUUAUCCCUAAUAUUUUAACUUAUAAACAAUUAAAUCCCCAAAUCCUUAACUUAUGAAUUAACCAUUUUCCAUCACCAAACAUACUAGCCAAUUUUUAAUAAGGUUCUAAACAAUCCAUAUUUACUUAAAAUUUCACAUAACCUUAAGGAAUUUUACACUUUUAACCAAUAAAUCCUUAACCUUAACUUCAUAAAAUAUCAUUAAAAUUCAUUUAACAAAUCAUGUUCAUUUAACUACUAGAUUUAAUAAUCUACCGACUAAAAUCACAAAAUCAUCAAACUCUUUCAUGGAAAAUCCCUCAAUCUUUAACAGUUUUGCAAAUUAACCCUCGAGCUAAGUAGGUUAUGCUAAAACGAGUUCAAAAACAUAAAAUCAUUAAAAGCGGAACUCAAAAUCUUACCAUGCAUGAGCAAAACCACAACCAAAAGUUUCCUCCUUAACAAUGGUGUUCGACCAAGAAAGAAAAGAAAAUUGAUGAAGAUGAUGCUUAUUUCAUCUUUAUUCUAUUACUUUUAACUUAUUUAUUAAAUUACUAAUCUAACCUUUAAAAAUCAUUAAAACUACAAUAAAACCUAUCUGUAAACAUCCACUAACCUUAAUUAUGGUAUAUUUACUUUCCAAGUCCAUUGAUUUACCUAUUCAAAGUCAUUUGACCCUUUUUAUCUAAUAGAACCCACUUUUGCAAACUUUACAAAUUAGUCCUUUUUUACUUAAUUAACUAAAUAAAUAUUAAAAUUUCUUAACAAAAAUUUAGUAUGAUCCCAAUAUGACCACAUAAAAAUUAAAUAAAAAUAAAAUAUUUACUCACUUUUCGGAAUCGUGGUCCCGAAAUCAUUAUUUUUGACACCACUAAAAUCGGGUUGUUAACUACCAUUAACAAUGAAGAAAAACUUUGGGUUUUCUUCGAUGAUAACAAAGGCAAGGAGAGAAUAUGAAAUGAAAAUCUUCUCUCCACUACUAAGUUGUCUUAUUUAUAGCUAUCUCUAGCCCAAAUCCCACUCAGGUUUAAUCUCUAAUCAGUAAUCAUGCACGCACGCUUCCACUAAUUAAUCACAUCCUACGAGGCUCUUAGGUGUCCUGGUUGUUGUAAACGAAAUUAUAUAGGAUUUUUUAUAGUAAUUUUUACCACCUUUUUGCUUAAAAAUAAUAUUAAUCUUGAGUAUUUGUUAAUUAAUUAAGUGAAUUUUGCUUAAAUGUUAAUAAUGGACAUGAAUUUAUAAAGUAUGCAAAUUUGUCCUUUUUUAUAUGAUUUUGUGCAUAAAAUUAAAGUAUUUCAUGUUAUUUAUUAAUAUGUUAAAUUUACUUAUGCAGUGGACCAUAGAGUUGAGUGUUGCAUGGACAUGAGUUAUUAUUCUCAUGUGUUGGAUGGCAAGACUAAGAUUAAUGGGUCAUCAAGAUGCCGCAUUGACCAAAUAAAAAAUAUGAUACAUGUUGGUCAAGUCUACAAGCUAGUUGGGUCAUUAAUAGCCCAAUUCAAGAGAAGAGAGGCCCAAUUCGGCAACCACAAUUGGGCAGCCAAGAAAUCAAUUUUGGGACAAUUAUUUGAAGGUCCGCAAACUUGGAAGAACAUUGGAAAUUGGCACACAAGAUUUGCUUGAGAAAAUGUCCACACCUUGCAUGAUUCAAACAUGAUUUCAUGCUUGAAUCAAGCAACCAAACCACAUUCUCUUCCACAUAUCAUGGUUGGCCAUAAGGAGAGAGAAAUCCAAGGGAUUAUUAUUGCUAUUUUUAGUAAACUCUCCUACCUAGUUCAAUUUUAAAUACCAUACCUAUCUCACCUUUUCAAUCAUCCCUUACUCAUCUCUUCAUCCCUCAUUUUCACAACAUUCUUCAUUCCCUUUCUUGCUCUCUUCAUCCACCAUCCCUAUCAUUCCAUUUUUCCCUUUAGUUUUUAGCCAGUAAAAGCCUUGAAAAGAUCAUCUCUUAGUCGACCACCUUGAGGAGCCAUUAGCAAAAGUGCAACAAGAGGAGCGAAGGAAAACACCUUCAAUCAGAGUUCGCGAGGCUGCCGACUUGAAAUAGAGUUUAUUCUUCCCUUACUUGUUGUUUUAAAUUAAUUAUGCUUGCAAUGUGUUUUGUGAUCUUGACAUCAGCAAUGGUAGCUUAAAUCUAUUUAGCUAAGUUAAAUGCAUUAAUUCAAUGAGAUUUGUUUGAUUCA
rnacentral:lncRNA from 1 species